GAGGGUGAAAAGGGCUGCUGAAAACAUUGAGAGAGAAGAGCCCAAGAGAGCUAAAUGUGGCUAAGGUGUGAUUAGUGGUGGUUUUAUGGUUACUAAAACUAUAUGCUUCAUUUCUUUUCAUUUUCAGACCUUGGUUUUGCAACAUUGAACUUAUCUUUCUUAAAAUAACGAUGGUUACACUCAUUUUUAAUGUUUUUUCUUCAAGUUUGAUGUUUGGUUAUUUUACUUUUGUUAUAUCUGAUGCUUUUUCCAUCUUUGAUUGAGCCUUUAACUUUUAGUUUGCUUGCUUGAUUUUUUUUCUUUUGAUACUCCCUUAAACAGAACAUGUUAUAACUGAGCCUGCACUUAAUCAUUUCUCUGAAAAUGAGGAAACUAAGAUUGUUAGUAGGCACAGAGAAUGGCUGUGUUUUACCAAUCAAACUUUAAAAUGAUUAAGAAAAAAAUGAAAGUGAUGCAGUCAAUGUGUUUAUUUCGCAGUAGAUAUUUUGCAGCUUUUUUUUUAAUAUGAAAGCUUUGUUUUUUUUUUGACGACUAAUAUGCAAGCUAUGUUAUAUCCCCCUAUACAUUAAAAGAUAAGUCACUUUAGUGAUUUUUGUUGAGGUGGCACUCAUAUAGAGCUUCUCAGAAAAAACGUUAUAAUUCUAUUGGCUGGAUUUUUUGAAUUUUUCUUUUUCAUUUAUUUUAAUCAAUCACUUAUGUAGACAAGCCCAAAACUAUUGUUGAUUUCGUUAAGCCAUAUAUAGCUAGGGGAUAAUAAUUAUCGAUUUAGUUUAGCCUUUGGUACCCGUUCGGGUUCGGGUCGGGUAUUUCGGAUUUUCGGGUAUUUUGGUAUAGAGGUGUAGAACUCGUUCGGGUAUUUCUGUACUUCGGGUCGGGUUCGGGUAUUUUUAGUUCGGAUUCGGUUAUUUC
rnacentral:lncRNA from 1 species